AGGGCGCUGGCCUGGUCUUUGUCCCUCACUUGCCCUCACUGGGUUUGCGGCAGUCCAAUUUGACUGAUUUCUCUGGAUUUCUGUACAUGCAUUUCUAUACAUCUUGUGAAGCCAUUUGAAGUAUAACUAACUGCCUAGGCUUCCUGCUCUAGUUGUUUAUAAUUACUGGGUAUGUUUGCCCCCAGCCACGUGACAAUUGUAGCCCCUGGAGGAAGGACACUUCUGGAAAUUCUUGUUUGAUUUUGAUUGUGUACAAGUGCCUCACUACGUUUCACAAUAAUUACAUCUAAUUACAGAGAAAACACUGCAGGGUGAAGUAGAAUAGAAAAAAACAGAAGAGAGUGAAAAAGGAGACAAGGAAAUCAUAACUAAAAAAUUGUACUUUUAGGAAGACUACAAUUUCCAGGGACCCAGCUAAAGUCACCUGAGGUGAAAAAAAUGCCUUAAGCUUCUGUUUUAAUUUGUCUGUGGAAAGCCAGCCUAAAGAUUCCAAGAAGAAAAGCAUAGAAAUCAUCAUUCAACCUGCUAAUAAGAAGUAGAAGCAUCCAUGAGCAAAUAGAAGCAUAGAUAAAUUCAAGAUACAGUUAAGAGUCACUCAGCUUCACUUAACUGUGAAAUAAGGCCCAAGAUGGACACCGAUGUUUGGCGUCACAUGGAAACAUGACAAUAUCCAGCAACAGAAAAGAAUUCCUUCUUUCUGAACAUCAUUUUUAAGAUGGUAGGAAAAGUUAACCAAAAAUCCCCUCUGCAAACUUCCCAUCAUGUCUUAUUGGCCAGAAGUAUGUCACAGACUCAUUACUGGCAAAGAAAGGGGAUCAUUAAAACUUGUUUAGAGCAAUUAUGAUUUACCCUGUGGAGCUGGGGUUGGAGCUGAGAUCAGGACUGUCUUUCCCUGAUGCCCAUGGCAAGGAGAAGCAUAGAAAGAACAAAAUUGGGAUUCUGUUAUUAAGAAAGAACAGGGAAAUUGUUAUUAGGCAUCAGGGUAUACAUACAUACCUAGAACAUUACAACUUAUGCUACACAUAAGUACCUAGAACAUUAUAGUCCUUCAAUAGGUGCCUGUUGAAUGAAUAAAUAACUUUUCAAUUCAUACAAAAUGUACUAAGAGAAAGUGUAUUGUUUCAUUUUCUCUCACUUGCAGAUUCACUCUUCUUUGCCUGUUCCUUAAAAUGGAGCUUUCAUCUUUAAAUAUUUUCCUUUACCAGUUGAUGAGAUAGUUAAACUUUGUCAAUAGAGGACAAAAGAGACAUUGCACAAGAGAAAGAUUUUCCUUCUUGUUGGGGUGUGUGUAUUUAUGUGUUCCCAACAGGCUCCUACAACCAGGAGCGGCAACUUCCCCCCAACAACCUACACGGACACUUUCUGGAAAGUUUCAGGAGGCAGAUUUCUAGCAAGGCCACCAAGAUAGC
ensembl:lncRNA